rnacentral:tRNA from 1 species
GGUAGGUCUGGGGUUCGAGUCCNGCAGACUGUAAAUCUGUUGUCAUCGACUUCGGUGGUUCGAAUCCACCAUCCUCCACCA